rnacentral:rRNA from 1 species
UGACGGAGCACGCCGCGUGAGUGAUGAAGGCUUUCGGGUCGUAAAACUCUGUUGUUAGGGAAGAACAAGUGCUAGUUGAAUAAGCUGGCACCUUGACGGUACCUAACCAGAAAGCCACGGCUAACUACGUGCCAGCAGCCGCGGUAAUACGUAGGUGGCAAGCGUUAUCCGGAAUUAUUGGGCGUAAAGCGCGCGCAGGUGGUUUCUUAAGUCUGAUGUGAAAGCCCACGGCUCAACCGUGGAGGGUCAUUGGAAACUGGGAGACUUGAGUGCAGAAGAGGAAAGUGGAAUUCCAUGUGUAGCGGUGAAAUGCGUAGAGAUAUGGAGGAACACCAGUGGCGAAGGCGACUUUCUGGUCUGUAACUGACACUGAGGCGCGAAAGCGUGGGGAGCAAACAGGAUUAGAUACCCUGGUAGUCCACGCCGUAAACGAUGAGUGCUAAGUGUUAGAGGGUUUCCGCCCUUUAGUGCUGAAGUUAACGCAUUAAGCACUCCGCCUGGGGAGUACGGCCGCAAGGCUGAAACUCAAGUUUUUUGGGGGGGGGGA